rnacentral:rRNA from 1 species
UACGUAGGUGGCAAGCGUUAUCCGGAAUUACUGGGUGUAAAGGGCGUGUAGGCGGGUAGAUAAGUCAGAUGUGAAAUUCCGAGGCUCAACCUCGGCGCUGCAUCUGAAACUGUUUAUCUUGAGUAUCGGAGAGGAAAGUGGAAUUCCUAGUGUAGCGGUGAAAUGCGUAGAGAUUAGGAGGAACACCAGUGGCGAAGGCGGCUUUCUGGACGAUUACUGACGCUGAGGCGCGAAAGCGUGGGGAGCGAACAGG